GGCUUUUUCAGCUCUAAAUUUACAGCCCCCUGCACGGACAGCAAAAGACCUGAACUGCGAUUCUGCGAAUGACAUUUAAGCAGGCCGAUUAUUUUCACUAGUUGAUAUAUUUGCGGGGAGGUUAGCAAUAUCUACUUCGGUUUAUAACGCUGGAUUUGAACUCCAAUAACAUCAUAUUCCGUCCACGAUAUGUGAAUGUAGCCUAGUGGAGCUAUAAGAGUCUGUGAGGUUUCAAUGCAGACCGUCCGGGGGACAUAACAAGUCCCUAGAAUGUCCAAGUGGAACUUUUAGGGCGAAGAGGAGGGCCGGGGCGGCAGCAUAGGCUACAACAACGCUGUAGUCUACAAAAGUGAAAGUAAAGUCAAAAUGCGUGCUUGUACGACGUCUAGACCAGACACAAAAAGGGGAAAUCCUGAUGGUUACCAUGGCAACAUGACAAGUGGCUUGGCAUGGAUUAUCAGAGCCUGUCUCUUUGUGUGCCUGUGGAGAGCUUGUCUGUGUGAAGAGCCUAUCUGCAUGUAUAAUGAAUUUUUGACAGAAAUGGUAGAAAGUCUGCCAAGGGACUAUUUGUUCAGAGUGAACAAAAGUGAGGUAUGGGUUCAAUUCCAUUUCUGUACAUUCUAUCUGUAAA